rnacentral:rRNA from 1 species
AUACGGAGGGUGCAAGCGUUGUUCGGAAUCACUGGGCGUAAAGGGCGCGCAGGCGGUUUGGUAAGUCAGAUGUGAAAGCCCAUGGCCCAACCAUGGAAGUGCAUUUGAAACUGUCAGACUUGAGUACUAGAGGGGAAAGUGGAAUUCCCGGUGUAGAGGUGAAAUUCGUAGAUAUCGGGAGGAAUACCGGUGGCGAAGGCGACUUUCUGGCUAGAUACUGACGCUGAGGCGCGAAAGCGUGGGGAGCAAACAGGAUUAGAUACCCGAGUAGUCC